UCAAGGCAAGGUGAUAUUCCCUCAUUAAAAUCUAUUUGUGCAAAGUUAAGAUGUCAAAGAAAUUUCACUUCUUCCAAGAGGGUAUGAAAGCCCAUGUUAUUAGUGAUCAGAAGGGACUUGGGAGUCCUAUUUGCCAAAGAGGAGGGUGUAGUGAAAGAAAGGAGAAGAAAAAAAAAUUGUAUUUGAGCAUUGAAUGUUAUCUAAGAAGAAUAAUGAAUUCAGCUGCCUUAAAACAACAACUUUUGUUACCCAAGUACAGAUCAUAGAAAAUAUUUUUAAGGAAAAAAGUCUUCCGAAUGUGGGCUGAGAUUCUGCAUGCAGUUUUUCAAGCCAUACUGCUGCACACAGAGACACCCACAGUUCCAAGGGUAACCAACCUUGUACCACUUCACCCAUUUUCAUAGAGGGUGAAUGAGGUUGCUAAAGACCAGAUUAUUAAUUCUUAGAUUAUCCAGAUGUAUGCUUUUGUGGAUGGUGUGUGCCCCAGAACCGUGGUAUCACAGGCAGGAUUAGAAUGAGGUUUAGCAUUAAAUCUGGCACUUCUUUUCGUAUUUUCAUAGCUCAAGGAUGACAGCAUCAGGGGUUUUUACAAUCCAUGAACCAAACACUCCUCAGAUGCAAACCAUUUUGUGGUUGUUGGGGGGUUGGCCUUUUAGAUGCAGGGGUUUUGGCAGAAUCAGCAUUUGCAUCUGUGUUCAAAGUUGCCUGAGCAGAGAUGUGGCGAGGAGCGCCAUGUGGUCAGCCUGCCCUUAACUGCUAGGGAUUGGAGGGGAAAUGAGUCUGGGCCUUCGAUUCUGCACUUCAUGAUGUAUUAGCCAUCUGCAACAGUUGGAAGAACUGCUAAAAAUACUAGCCUGAGGUACUAAUAAUCCUGCCUCCAGGAAAAGUAGCUUUGGCUGAUGGUGGGGCAUGCAAGUGAGCCAGACUGCAAAAUUUAGCAGCAUUUCUGGACACCACGUGCCAGCAGUGACCCUUUUCUGUGCCUCUUUCCAAGUGCCAUACUCCUCGACAGGAUCUGCCGUGGGACCCGCUUGUGAAACUCAGCCCGUGCUCCAGAGAGAGCAGCCGUGUUGCAGCGGGGAGGGGGUGGCAGCAGACGAGACUGCAGCAGCACACACAAAAAUGGAGUUAGGAUAGAAAUCAGCAGAAAUCUCCUAUCUCUGCCUAGGCUGGCCUGUCCAUCUGUUUUGACAGCUCCUUUUAUCACUAGUAACCAUGUGAAGUAUGAGCACAUUAAAAGAUCACGGCUCUUAUUUGGAGUAGGGUCCUGCGAAGAGCUGAGCUGCUCCGUGUCCUGUCGCAGGGGAAGGGAGUUCAGGGCACAUUAUUUCUCCAAGGCUGGAGCCUUUGGCUGCCUCCUGGUUUGUGUGCCAGCACGAUCAGCAAUCGAACACAGCCGAGGGGAUCGCAGAGUCCAGGCAUGUACCGCUGCUCAGGAAUUUGUGCUCCCUCUGUUGGCUGGCUGGCUCUGGAGCAGUGGAGGAAAAAAAAAAAAAAUGUUAUUACGUUAUGUCAGGCAGAAAGAAUUUCUCUACUUUUAAUUGCCUGGUGCCCAGCAAGCCAAUUUUGGAGGGCACUAUCAAAAUAAAGGGCCUAUGGCUUCAAGAAUGUGACUACCCAACUGCUUCUGAUUUGGUGUGUUGUGGAUAACUCAGGGAAUUAGACCUCGAUUCAUUUAAAUGCUUCUGUCUGGGGUAUGUGUCUAUGUGGGAGAAACAGUGUGAAGCCAGGGUGGGUGGGCUCAGGUCUGUGUAAAUCUGAGCAGCUUCAGGAGCCGCUCCAGCACAUCCCUGGGGCAAAGAGCCUUCAUGGUGCAUGGCAGCCAGACGUGUCCCCAAAUUUGUCAUCUGUGCUUUGGGUCUGUUUGUGGAGAUGGUGCAAAGCCUUGUGCUUGGCGUGUGCCUCUGUGGUGAUGCUGUCAGCUCAUCCGCAGCUUGCCUCCACACACACUUGCAGCAGAAAUGGGUCUGCCUCUCUCCCCCACACCUGCACCUCCCACCCCACGAGUGUGUAAGUGAUGGCACGGGGAAGAAGACAACACAGGCCCAUACAGACAUGUAUUUCAUAUAGCUUCCCAUGUAUCAUAUCAUCUCUGCCGAUUAAUGCGGUGCAAUCA